GAUGAACGCUGGCGGCGUGCCUAAUACAUGCAAGUCGAGCGAACGGACGAGAAGCUUGCUUCUCUGAUGUUAGCGGCGGACGGGUGAGUAACACGUGGAUAACCUACCUAUAAGACUGGGAUAACUUCGGGAAACAGGAGCUACUACCGGAUAAUAUUUUGAACCGCAUGGUUCAAAAGUGAAAGACGGUCUUGCUGUCACUUAUAGCUGGAUCCGCGCUGCAUUAGCUAGUUGGUAAGGUAACGGCUUACCAAGGCAACGAUGCAUAGCCGACCUGAGAGGGUGAUCGGACACACGGGAACAGAGACACGGUCCAGACACCUACGGGAAGCAGCAGUAGGGAAUCUUCCGCGAUGGGCGAAAGCCUGACGGAGCAACGCCGCGUGAGUGAUGAAGGUCUUCGGAUCGUAAAACUCUGUUAUUAGGGAAGAACAUAUGUGUAAGUAACUGUGCACAUCUUGACGGUACCUAAUCAGAAAGCCACGGCUAACUACGUG
rnacentral:rRNA from 1 species